UUUAUUAAGAGUUUGAUCCUAGCUCAGGAUGAACGCUGGCGGCGUGGAUAAGGCAUGCAAGUCAAGGGGGUCGCAAGACAACCGGCAGACGAGGUAGUAAUAAGCAGGAAUCUACCGUGGAGUCGGGCAUAGCUCGUCGAAAGACGGGGUAAUUCCCGAUAGUCCCAGUUGCAAUUUUGGUUCGCAGAAAUAUUCUGUUGAUCAAAAUUGCGAUUGGGUAAAGAAUUUUGCUCCAUGAAGAGCCUGCUCAGUAUCAGCUAGUUGGUAGGGUAAUGGCCUACCAAGGCUACGACGCUUAGGGGGGGUGA
rnacentral:ncRNA from 1 species